rnacentral:tRNA from 1 species
GGAAGUGUGGCUGAGUCCGGUUUAAGGCGCAUCACUGCUAAUGAUGUGAGUGUAAAAGCUCCGCAGGUUCGAAUCCUGUCACUUCCGC